GGAAGGACCAUAAGUUGGUGGCAGAGCAUCUGCUUUGCAUGCAGAAGGUCAGGGUUCAAUCCCUGGUGUCUCCA